UACGUAGGUGGCAAGCGUUGUCCGGAUUUACUGGGUGUAAAGGGCGUGCAGCCGGAGAGACAAGUCAGAUGUGAAAUCCACGGGCUCAACCCGUGAACUGCAUUUGAAACUGUUUCCCUUGAGUGUCGGAGAGGUAAUCGGAAUUCCUUGUGUAGCGGUGAAAUGCGUAGAUAUAAGGAAGAAUACCAGUGGCGAAGGCGGAUUACUGGACGAUAACUGACGGUGAGGCGCGAAAGCGUGGGGAGCAAACAGG
rnacentral:rRNA from 1 species